GAUGAACGCUAGCGGCAGGCUUAACACAUGCAAGUCGAGGGGUAACGAUGGUGCUUGCAUCAGGCGACGACCGGCGAACGGGUGCGUAACGCGUAUAGAAUCUGCCUUGUACAGGAGGAUAGCCUUUAGAAAUGAAGAUUAAUACUCCAUAAUGUUAUUUGGUGGCAUCAUUAAAUAAUUAAAGAUUUAUCGGUACAAGAUGACUAUGCGUCCUAUUAGUUAGUUGGUAAGGUAACGGCUUACCAAGGCAGCGAUAGGUAGGGGGUCUGAGAGGACUAUCCCCCACACUGGUACUGAGACACGGACCAGACUCCUACGGGAGGCAGCAGUGAGGAAUAUUGGACAAUGGGCGCAAGCCUGAUCCAGCCAUGCCGCGUGCAGGAAGACGGCCCUAUGGGUUGUAAACUGCUUUUAUACAGGAAGAAACACCAAUACGUGUAUUGGCUUGACGGUACUGUAAGAAUAAGCACCGGCUAACUCCGUGCCAGCAGCCGCGGUAAUACGGAGGGUGCAAGCGUUAUCCGGAAUCAUUGGGUUUAAAGGGUCCGCAGGCGGUCGAUUAAGUCAGAGGUGAAAUCCCAUAGCUUAACUAUGGAACUGCCUUUGAUACUGGUUGACUUGAGUCAUAUGGAAGUAGAUAGAAUAAGUAGUGUAGCGGUGAAAUGCAUAGAUAUUACUUAGAAUACCGAUUGCGAAGGCAGUCUACUACGUAUGUACUGACGCUCAUGGACGAAAGCGUGGGGAGCGAACAGG
rnacentral:rRNA from 1 species